UGGACCACCCUUGGAUAUUGAAUGCAUAAAGGCAGAGCAUUGUCCAAUCCCAAAGCGGAAAGCUCCUUGAUUGUUUGAUUGUCUACUGCUAUAUCUUUGACUUCUUCAAAAGUCUUUACCGUGGCCUCCUCUUGCCCUUCUACUUUGUCUUCUUCAAGAUCUGGUGCAGGUUGAGAUGGUUGGGGUUCUUGUUGAUUCCUUGCUCGUCUCAAAGUUCGUUCAAAAUCGUCGUCAAAGUCAAGGAUGUGCUUAUGAACAAGUUGAGAACUUCGAGUCAUAAACCACCUAAAACAAGAAAACAAGUAAAAUCAGCAACUAGGAACAAAAACACAUGAAAAUAAACAAAAAGAAAUAACAAGGGAUUAGCAAAGUUGCUAAUCCCCGGCAACGGCACCAAAAACUUGAUGUGAAAAUUAACUUAGCACACAAAUUAAACCCUCUUUUGACAAUUGUAGUAUAUGAAUAAGUAGUGAUCGUUCUGGACCGGGGAUUAGGAGGGCUUGCUAAUAACCUCUAAACUGACUUAAAAACAUAAAUACACAGUUAAAAACAUUUGAAUAGAUUCAAGGGACUUAAAACAGGUUCAAAAGACUUAAAACAACUUAAAAACACUCAAAACUGCCUAAAAACACUUGUUGGGCAGUUUCUGACUCUAAACACAACUUUGAACGAAAAUUGGGUUUUGGCUUCACCUAAAACAAUAAAAAACACAAACAAAACAGAUUUGAAACACUUUGAAACAAGAAACUAAAAGGGGGGUUUUGAUUUGGAUGAAGUUGAAACAAAUAAACAAGUAAGAAAAACUAGACAGAUUGUAAAACGAAUUUGAGAAAUAAGAUGAUGGAUGGGAUAGCUAGAGACUUUUUCUCCACACAUGACAUGUAUGCAAACAACUCGAUUUCCAGUUACUACUUCAUUGAAUUAUGAACGACAAUGCCCAAAUUAACUGUGACACCACUAGUUAACCCUCAGAUUUUCGUUGUUUUAUUGGAUUGGAUGACAUCAUUCGACAACCCAAAACAUUCUUCAAAAGUUCCCUACAUGACAUCAUAAUAGAGAUACAAUCAAAGAUCAUUAGGUUUAAUGAAAAUCAUAAACAUUGACAAAGCACUUGCAACUAUGACAUCAUGUCACUCAUGCUAGAAUUAAACUUAACGCGAUCGUUUAUAAGCAACCUCCACUACUUAUGAAUAUAAGUUUGUAACGAUUAUGUGAAACUUUCUUAUAUUCUAGCAUCGGAUUUAUGCAUGCCAAUUAAGUGUCGACCCUUAAUUAACAAAUACAAAUAAGUUAUCAAUCAAAUAGUUAAGCCAAUUGCAUUCACGAUUCAAGAGUUCAUAAUUGGAAUUUAUCAAAUCAUAUUGCACACAUAAUCAUGGCUUUGAAAUCACCCCUAGCCAAGAGGGGUUUAGCCACUCAUGUUCACAACAAAAUGAAAGAAAAUGAAUUUAAACAUUGGAAACAAAAGAAAGAAAACACCUAAACGCUCCAACGAUCCAAGUUGGACAUCAAGCACGUCCAAGCACUUUCUUUCCCUUCCUUUGCUAAGGCACAAGGUGUUGGUAAGUGUUUGAAGGUUUGUUUGUAUGGAGGAAUGGAUGUGAAGAUGAAUGGAUGUGUUUGGAUGAAGGUUGUAUUGAAAUGGGGAUGAAUGAUCAAGCAAAAACUGCCCUCUAUGGCUGCCACACACACUUCCUUUUAUAGAGGAAGUGCACGGCAAGGAGGGGAAAUUGGUGGUGUGUGCAAUGAUUCAAGGGUGAAAAGUAAUGAUGCAAAACAUGGGGGGGUAAAAUGGAGUGGUGUUGCAGCAAUGAGUGCAUGGGGUGGUGUUGAAAUGAUUCAAAGGUGAAAGUGAAGUGAUGAUGCAAAGCAUGGGGGGUAAAAUGGAGUGGUGUUGCAGCUAUGUAUGCAAGUAGGGAACAUGAAUGAUUGUGCACAUAGUAGAGAAAGGAAAGGGAGCUGGAAUGGUGUAGAAAUGAGUCAAAUGUGUAGCAAAAGUCAUGAUGCACAGCAUAGGAUUCCUAAGGUGGUGGAUGGUGCAUCAAUGAGUGCAAUGAUUCAAUGUAAUGGUGCAUGAAAUCAGAUAUGAUGGAAGGAACAAUGAAUGUUGCAGCUUGCAAUUAUGUUUGUAGUUGCUGGAAAUGUGAAUACAACUUCUAAAACAAUCCAACAAAUGACAUCUUUCACUUCUUUUCCUUUCAAAUUGUUCCUUAAAUGUAUGUAUCUUCACACUUCCACAUUUCAACUUCAUUAUUCAGAUUUUUGCAUAUGUUGAAACCCUUUUUAAAACACCAAAAACGUCCAUCCAACUUGCUCCAUAUGCAUGCAAUCCAUUUCAGCCCAAAAUUGCUCCAAAAUGCACUUUCUUGCCAACUUUGUUAUUAGGACCAACAAACACACGAAAAUAGCUUAAAAUACAUAAUUGACUAAGAAAUAACAACAUAAAUGCACAAGAACAAGCUAACUAAGUCGCAUAAAUAUGCUCCUAUCACUAGGGCACCAACAAGCUACGGACAAGAGGCCCAACCCACGCCAACUGCCACAGCAGGCCCAGGGCAUGAGGCCUAGCCCACUGCAGCAGUAGGCUUAGAACAAAACCCAAGCUGCAGCAACUGCUGCCAGCCAGGCAACCAAACAGGGCCAAGCCCAAGCCACCUAGCUAUUAGGCAUGCCGCAGCAGCCUAACGGCCAGGAGGGCCCAAUCCCAUGCAGGCCUAAGGAGAGUAGGCGUUGGCCCAAUGCGUAGUGCACGGCCCAACCACCUAGCCGGGUUAGCCUACCCUGUGGCCAACUCUGGCCACCCAGCCCACUGCCCAAUCCAAUUUGAGGCCACCUCUGGCAAUUCUAAUUUCGACCACUGGCCCCGCAAUCAACCCAAGUAUGCCAACUCCAAGCUCAAGCUUUGUACCUGUCGUUCACUACACUUCCACUAUACAUGAAGACACCCAUUAUACAGACUCUUCCUAUCCAAAUGGUGAGUAUCACUUGCCUUAGCAAGACAAGGGCAGAUGAUCAUGACUCAUACCAGAAACGUCCCGGCAAACAACCGCUCAGCCCGUAACAAACCGUGCGUUUGGGUAGUAUUCACUCUCGUUUGGGCCUUUGAGAAAAUGUGUUAUUUUGCCUCAAUGAUCAGAUAAGCAUUCAUUCCUGACUCAGCUCAUGAGUUAGUGUGCAUUCGAGGUUAGGUCCAUACUCUGACGAGCACUCCGGACAUUCCAAACGAAGUGUCUACAUGAGACUAGGCCCACAAGGAGAUCCUCCUGCAAGGUACCAAAGUAGGCAACAAAAUGACGGACCGAGGAAAGCACGAAAGCAGUCCAACUCGAGUUCUUCUAGCAAUCUCUGCCAAGCGCAACGACAAGUAACAUAGAAUGAACCACGUGCAUCGCAACCACAGCAUAAAUGAGCAAGACAUGUAUAAAAGUAAUAUAAACUAGCAGGUCAACAUCGAAGGUAGCUGAAGGUUCUACUGCCCUACCAGAGGUAAAUCCAUGAGGAAGUACAAAGACUCAUAGCAGAG
rnacentral:lncRNA from 1 species